GCUGGCGCAUGCGCGGCAGGUGGGGGAGGGGUCGCGAGGCAGAGCCGUUAGCCAUGUGGCGGCUGGCGCGUGGCCGGCUGUUAACGGUCGCGUUCGCGCGGGGCCGGCCGUUAACCGUCCCGGCGGCGGCGGCGAGCGGCGGCCCCGGCGGUUGGUACGAGUGGGUGGCGCAGUCGACGGCCGUGCACUGGGCCGAGGAGGGGCUGGUGGGGCUGCAGGCGGCCGCCGGGCUGCCCUGGUGGGCCGCCAUCGCCUGCGGCGCCGCCCUGCUCCGCACCGCCGUCACCUUGCCGCUCGCCGCGCACCAGGGCCGCCUCCUGGCCAAGUUAGAAAAUUUGCAGCCUGAGAUUAAAAAACUAGCUGAGCGUCUUCGCUAUGAAGUUUCUGUGCGUGGAAAGCAACAGCAUUGGUCUGAAAAGGUGGCCAGGUUCCACUUUAAGAAAAACCUGCGGAGGAUUAUUACGGAACUGUACAUUCGAGACAACUGCCAUCCCUUCAAAGCCACCUUACUGGUGUGGGUACAGGUUCCAAUGUGGGUUUGCGUGUCCGUCGCUCUACGCAACUGCAGCGUUGGUGCCAGGGGCUCAGAAGUUCAAGAACAGUUUUCAGCAGGCGGAGCGUUGUGGUUUACAGACCUCACUGCCCCAGAUUCUACAUGGAUUUUGCCAGUUUCCCUUGGGCUCAUGAAUUUGCUGAUAGUGGAGAUCUUUGCUUCACAAAAAAUGGAAGUUUCCAGGUUCCAGAAGUUUGCUACGAAUUUCUUUCGAGUGGUGUCAGUAGUGAUGAUCCCUGUUGCUGCAACAGUCCCCUCGAUUCCAGGGGAAAAACUGAAGGUAUAACAAAUGGUCCUGACUGGCCUGGAAAGGAACCAGCCGUCAUCGACACUGCUAAAAGCUAAGGACAGAGGAAGGUGAGGAUGACAGUCCUUGCACCAUCCUUCAGGAUGGAAGGAUUUGUGUGGGAACUGUCGGGCUUCAUUUUGCCUGGAAGCCUGUCCCCUCUGUUCACCCACGUGCAUCUUUCCACCCCUCUCGCUGCAGUCCCCUGUUUCCAGAUUAACGUUCUGCAGAUGAAGCCUAGAAGGCAUUUAAAUUCUGGAAUCUCCUGUUCUGACUUCAUGGGACAAAUAUGGUGCGGGCAAGAGUCUCACUUCUUUGUGUACAUCCCCAAGAUUGAAGCAAGGCUUUUAUCUUGUGCUUGGAGUGUUCCUCAAGCUCUGAAUCUUCUCCUACCAACAGCAGAUACCCAAAUACAAGCGUGUCCCUGCAGAUAACAAAAUCUUCGCCAAGGCAAGCAUAAAAGCAAUGAAAUAUUCCCAGCUCCCAAGCACUCCUGGUACUCAAAUUCCUCUUGAAAAAAAUGGGGUGUCGUGUACUGUAUGCUCUGAAGCUUAAUAGUACCUUAUAUCCAUAAGGCGCCACAUGGAAUAGCACAUUCUUGUGGCAGUGUUUCUGGAAACAUGUGACUUGUAAAAUGUUUUUCAUCCUAACUUCCAGGAGAAACAUGAAGAGAAUGUCCUCUUUUGGAUGGCACUGUAUUUCAGCUGGAAGAAGAGAAAAGCAACCAUCCCCUGCUCAGAAAGUAAGGAUCCCAAGCUAGAAUGUACGUCACCUUACUUGGGUAUUGCCCAGGAUAUCUGAAGUCAAGGAAUGCCAUUGUCUUGACGAACAUAAGGAAAAAUGGAUUGUUACUCAGCUCCUAAAUCUUCUCACCUUUCCUCACUGUGUGUCUUGCCAAACCUAUGGCAGCUGCUUCCCAGGGGUCUGGUGAGCUCCAUCCAGAGACUCAGCAGGGAAGAGGAAUUUCUGCAGCCUGAUAAUUCAUCUUUAAUAGGAAGAGACGUUACUGCCGCUGAUUUGGAUACAGCCCUCUGUCAGUAGAUGGAAGGCAGGUGUAGGAAAGAUGAAUAUCCCCACCAGAGAAUACACCGUCUUGCUUCACUGGUGAAUGAAUGCCGUUGAUUUUGAGGAAAUCACGCUUUUGCAUCUGCACUUCAACAGUAAAAAGGGGGUUUUGGUACUUGUUACAAGAGUACAGCUGAGCACUUGUGAUGCUAUCACAAGCUUGAUGUUGGCUUUAUGAGCCUGAGGCUCAAAUGUGUUCAGUGGAGGGGCCAGGAAGGUUGAAAAGCCAUUUGGCAUGUUGAUGGGUACCACACACGUUGUAACGGGAAGAAUGUUGUUAAUUAGAAACAAAUGCCAGCCUUCAGCAUAAGGCAGUUUGGAGGAAAAGGGCCUGUCAGAUCCAGGAGUUUGGGCCUCACUGUGUUUGUUUGGAACUUGCCUGGGGACUGUUUCUCAGCGCUGACCAAAAGUGGUGUGCAGUUGUUCCGGAGGGGACAGAAGGCAAAACCGUGGGUGGGACUGACAGCCGCUGUCUGAGAUGCCAGUGCUUGCCCCAGGAAGAGGUGCUAAGGUAUGACUUCCAGCCCGCUCUUACGGAGAAAAUAAAAGACCACUUGCCAGCUCACGAGUCCUCUCUUACUCAACACCUGUGGGAAACCGCAAGUGGCAAGAAAAAGAACAGCUGUAUUCCAACGUCAUCCCCGUCGGAAAAAAGUUGAGAUGCAGGAAUGCAGUUUUGAAUAAUAGACAUAAUUGCCCUUAAGGGUCCAAAUUAAAACCAAGGCCCUCUUUGUUUUACACGCUUGACAUAAGCAGAUGGAAAUCAUAUUGAGCAUAACUACAGAUUUAUGGAACUCGGGAAACACACUGUGUUAAGGAAGUGAGAGUCAGAGGGACUGCACUGUAAAAACGCCCCGUGGUCUAACGGGGGCAGCUAAUCAUGUACUCUAAUGGGAGCUGCUGCGGGCAGACAAAAUUCUCUUCUCUAUUAAUUUCUGAACUGUUAAGCUAGGAAAGCAAAAAGAAACAUGGAACUUGAACUCUCUUUAUGGCUGAGAACUUGAGCCCUUUUUGAUUAGAAAACAGUUAAAUGAUAAAAUCUUCCAAUAGGGAAAGUCAGUUGCUUAGAAACGUGUCUAAUAAAACACAGGUAGUGGCAGUGCUCUUUAGACACAUGAUUUCUGCUUUGAGGAAGAGUUUGAAAUUGAAAGUUGGCAAAGAGGAACUUUUUAGAGGUGUAGCUUAAAUCUUGUUUUUUAUCCUGUGGAUACAACUAAAGGGAUUUACUUUUUGUAGCGCUUGCAUUCUUUGUGUUUUGUUAAAGUCUUGCUGGCCAGUCAGUGUAAUGAAACAAGAUAUUGGUUUUUUGUAAAGGCUCUGUAAAGUAAAGGAACUUAAAACUCGGGACAGCUUCUGAAAAUGUUUUAAUUUAUGCCUAAGCAUGACACUGUUAUUCAAACUUAAGAAUCGUUUUUCAAUCACGACGCCAUCCUUCC